AAAGAACUAGAGAAGCAAGACAAAACCCCAAAGCUAGAGGAAGACAAGAAAUAACUGAAAAUCUGAGCUGAACUGAAAGAAACCGAGACAUGAAAAAAAGAAAUUCAAAAGAUCUAUGAAUUCCGGUUUCUCCACAGACACUACCCAAAGCAGUGCUUCACUACAGUGGCAGACAGACCUGAAAAUUUUCAUCUGAAGCAGCAGAGUGAACUGCAGAGGCAGGUCACCAACCAGUGUGGAGGCUAAAAGCGGGCCUCUUUGGGGAUUCCAGGUGGAAGUGUUGGACAUCUGUAGUAUUCCUGGUCUCGAAUCAUCCUGAUAUUCUUCAUUUUGUUAUUCACAUUGGACUAGGGAACAAAGAUCACCACAACUGGCUCCCCUUCAACUAUGUUAGAUGGCAACUUGCCUUCAGUAUGGUGAAACACAUCAGUUAAGACCGGGGUUGUGCAUGGCAGGACUUUCUACAAGGACACCCAGUCUCCUUAAUAAACAUGAGAUGCUCUCUUUCCAGAAUUUCUCUUGCCUGACACAGCAUAGGAAGAUGCUGAACGGCCACACAGUGAUCCAUUGAGAUAGAAUCUCACUAUGUUGACCAGGCUGGUCUUGAACUCUUGGCACCCAAGCGAUCCUUUUGCCUGGAAUCCCAAAGUGUCAGAUUUACUGAAGAAUAUUUCAUUGUAAUUACUUUUUAUACUUUAUAGGUCAAGAGCUCUGUUUUAAAUACAAAAUUUAUUGAAUAUACUUUUUCAAACAAAGUUUCAUGUUCUAAUCAU
rnacentral:lncRNA from 1 species